rnacentral:rRNA from 1 species
GGGUUGUGAGGUUAAGCGACUAAGCGUACACGGUGGAUGCCUAGGCAGUCAGAGGCGAUGAAGGGCGUGCUAAUCUGCGAUAAGCGUCGGUAAGCUGAUAUGAAGCGUUAUACCCGACGAUACCCGAAUGGGGAAACCCAGUGUGUUUCGACACACUAUCAUUAUGUGAAUACAUAGCAUAAUGAGGCGAACCGGGGGAACUGAAACAUCUCAGUACCCCGAGGAAAAGAAAUCAACCGAGAUUCCCCCAGUAGCGGCGAGCGAACGGGGAGGAGCCCAGAACCUGAAUCAGUUUGUGUGUUAGUGGAAGCGUCUGGAAAGUCGCACAGUAAAGGGUGAUAGUCCCGUACACAAAAAUGCACAAGUUGUGAGUUCGAUGAGUAGGGCGGGACACGUGACAUCCUGUCUGAAUAUGGGGGGACCAUCCUCCAAGGCUAAAUACUCCUGACUGACCGAUAGUGAACCAGUACCGUGAGGGAAAGGCGAAAAGAACCCCGGCGAGGGGAGUGAAAUAGAACCUGAAACCGUGUACGUACAAGCAGUGGGAGCCUACUUGUUAGGUGACUGCGUACCUUUUGUAUAAUGGGUCAGCGACUUAUAUUCUGUAGCAAGGUUAACCGUAUAGGGGAGCCGCAGGGAAACCGAGUCUUAACUGGGCGUUAAGUUGCAGGGUAUAGACCCGAAACCCGGUGAUCUAGCCAUGGGCAGGUUGAAGGUUGGGUAACACUAACUGGAGGACCGAACCGACUAAUGUUGAAAAAUUAGCGGAUGACUUGUGGCUGGGGGUGAAAGGCCAAUCAAACCGGGAGAUAGCUGGUUCUCCCCGAAAGCUAUUUAGGUAGCGCCUCGUGAAUUCAUCUUCGGGGGUAGAGCACUGUUUCGGCUAGGGGGUCAUCCCGACUUACCAACCCGAUGCAAACUACGAAUACCGAAGAAUGUUAUCACGGGAGACACACGGCGGGUGCUAACGUUCGUCGUGAAGAGGGAAACAACCCAGACCGCCAGCUAAGGUCCCAAAGUCAUGGUUAAGUGGGAAACGAUGUGGGAAGGCACAGACAGCCAGGAUGUUGGCUUAGAAGCAGCCAUCAUUUAAAGAAAGCGUAAUAGCUCACUGGUCGAGUCGGCCUGCGCGGAAGAUGUAACGGGGCUAAACCAUGCACCGAAGCUGCGGCAGCGACACGUAGUGUUGUUGGGUAGGGGAGCGUUCUGUAAGCCUGCGAAGGUGGCCUGUGAGGGCUGCUGGAGGUAUCAGAAGUGCGAAUGCUGACAUAAGUAACGAUAAUGCGGGUGAAAAACCCGCACGCCGGAAGACCAAGGGUUCCUGUCCAACGUUAAUCGGGGCAGGGUGAGUCGACCCCUAAGGCGAGGCUGAAAAGCGUAGUCGAUGGGAAACAGGUUAAUAUUCCUGUACUCGGUGUUACUGCGAAGGGGGGACGGAGAAAGCUAGGUUAUCCGGGCGACGGUUGUCCCGGUUUAAGCGUGAAGGUGGAUGACUUUGGUAAAUCCGGGCCAUCAUUAACACUGAGGCGUGAUGACGAGUCACUACGGUGAUGAAGUAACCGAUGCUACGCUUCCAGGAAAAGCCUCUAAGCUCCAGGUAACAUCAAAUCGUACCCCAAACCGACACAGGUGGUCAGGUAGAGAAUACUCAGGCGCUUGAGAGAACUCGGGUGAAGGAACUAGGCAAAAUGGUGCCGUAACUUCGGGAGAAGGCACGCUGAUGGUAGGUGAAGUGACUUGCUCAUGGAGCUGAAAUCAGUCGAAGAUACCAGCUGGCUGCAACUGUUUAAUAAAAACACAGCACUGUGCAAACACGAAAGUGGACGUAUACGGUGUGACGCCUGCCCGGUGCCGGAAGGUUAAUUGAUGGGGUCAGCCGCAAGGCGAAGCUCUUGAUCGAAGCCCCGGUAAACGGCGGCCGUAACUAUAACGGUCCUAAGGUAGCGAAAUUCCUUGUCGGGUAAGUUCCGACCUGCACGAAUGGCGUAAUGAUGGCCAGGCUGUCUCCACCCGAGACUCAGUGAAAUUGAACUCGCUGUGAAGAUGCAGUGUACCCGCGGCAAGACGGAAAGACCCCGUGAACCUUUACUAUAGCUUGACACUGAACCUUGAGCCUUGAUGUGUAGGAUAGGUGGGAGGCUUUGAAGCGUGGACGCCAGUCUGCGUGGAGCCAACCUUGAAAUACCACCCUUUAAUGUUUGAUGUUCUAACGUGGACCCGUAAUCCGGGUUGCGGACAGUGUCUGGUGGGUAGUUUGACUGGGGCGGUCUCCUCCCAAAGCGUAACGGAGGAGCACGAAGGUUAGCUAAUCCUGGUCGGACAUCAGGAGGUUAGUGCAAAGGCAUAAGCUAGCUUGACUGCGAGAGUGACAGCUCGAGCAGGUGCGAAAGCAGGUCUUAGUGAUCCGGUGGUUCUGAAUGGAAGGGCCAUCGCUCAACGGAUAAAAGGUACUCCGGGGAUAACAGGCUGAUACCGCCCAAGAGUUCAUAUCGACGGCGGUGUUUGGCACCUCGAUGUCGGCUCAUCACAUCCUGGGGCUGAAGUAGGUCCCAAGGGUAUGGCUGUUCGCCAUUUAAAGUGGUACGCGAGCUGGGUUUAGAACGUCGUGAGACAGUUCGGUCCCUAUCUGCCGUGGGCGUUGGAAGAUUGAGAGGGGUUGCUCCUAGUACGAGAGGACCGGAGUGAACGCACCACUGGUGUACGGGUUGUGAUGCCAAUUGCAUUGCCCGGUAGCUAAGUGCGGAAGAGAUAACCGCUGAAAGCAUCUAAGCGGGAAACUUGCCUCGAGAUGAGUCUUCCCUGGGCACUAGAUGCCUCUGAAGGGCCGUUGAAGACGACGACGUAGAUAGGCUGGGUGUGUAAGCGUAGCGAUACGUUGAGCUAACCAGUACUAAUGACCCGAGAGGCUUAACCUUACAACACCGAAGGUGUUU